rnacentral:rRNA from 1 species
CCUACGGGUGGCAGCAGUGGGGAAUAUUGCACAAUGGGGGAAACCCUGAUGCAGCGACGCCGCGUGAGUGAAGAAGUAAUUCGGUAUGUAAAGCUCUAUCAGCAGGGAAGAAAUUGACGGUACCUGAGUAAGGACCCCCGGCUACCUACGUGCCAGCAGCAGCGGUCAUACGUAGGGGGCAAGCAUUAGCCGGAUUUACUGGGUGUAACGGGAGCGUAGACGGCAGUGCAAGUCUGGAGUGAAAGGCGGGGGCUUAACCACGGGACUGCUGUGGAAACUGUACGGCUGGAGUGCAGGAGAGGUAAGUGGAAUUCCUAGUGUAGCGGUGAAAUGCGUAGAUAUUAGGAGGAACACCAGUGGCGAAGGCGGCUUACUGGACUGUAACUGACGUUGAGGCUCGAAAGCGUGGGGAGCAAACAGGAUUAGAUACCCGUGUAGUC